UUGCUUCAGCAGCAAAUAUCCUAAAAUUGGAACGAUACAGAGAAGAUUAGCAUGGCCCUUGCACAAAGAUGACAUAUAAAUUCAUGAAGCGUUCCCUAUUUUA